rnacentral:rRNA from 1 species
UACGUAGGUGGCGAGCGUUGUCCGGAAUUACUGGGUGUGAAGCGCGUGUAGGCGGGAGGCCAAGUCUGUGGUGAAAUCGCUCGGCUUAACUGGGCGGGGUCCAUGGAAACUGGUCACCUGGAGGUCGGUAGAGGCAAGUGGAAUUCCCGGUGUAGUGGUGAAAUGCGUAGAGAUCGGGAGGAACACCAGUGGCGAAGGCGGCUUGCUGGGCCGGACCUGACGCUGAGACGCGAAGGCGUGGGGAGCGAACGGG